GCCAGGGCGGGGCCGUCUCCAACAGGAAGAGCUCCCCUCCCUCGCCCCACCCCCGGGAGGACCCGCCCCGGACUAAUCGCGGACUUCUCCAGCAGCGGGUCCCACCCAGAGCCAGGACCUGACGCUGCCUGUUAAAUGCUGAUAGAGUCACCUCGGCGUCAGUCAGCAGAGGAGAGCAGCCGCUGGGGACGCUCCUGCCUCGCGGUCCGAGGAGGAUCCCGAGUCCACCUAGAGCCUCGCGCCUCAGCCAUGGGGGCGUGUCCCCGCCGCGGGGCCUGGCUCUGCUCCGUGGGGCUCCUCGGGGCGUUGGCGCUACUCCCCCGAGCUCUGCUCGCCCUGCCGCUGAACUUGGGUAAUUGUAAUACUCUGCCAGCAUUUCCUCAUGCUCCUCCUGAAGAAAACUAUGAUGCUGAUAAAAUCUUUGUUGUUGGCACCAUUGUACAUUACAAAUGUGAUACUGGUUAUGUUAAACUAAUGGGAAACUCAGACUCAAUUAUUUGCCAGGGUAUGGAAUGGUCAGAAAUUCCACAAUUUUGUGAUCAUGGCUGUUUUCCCCCAGGCCCGUACCCUGGUAUGAAGCGGAGUGCUGAAUUCAUAAGUCGAUUGAGGUUUCCUUUUAACAUCACUGUGACUUUUGUAUGUCAGCCAGGAUAUACUCUCAGUAAACCUGGGCCUCUUCUCAGUACUUGUCAAGAUGAUGGAACGUGGUCACCUGUCUCAGGGUCUUGUAACAAAGUCAAAUGUAAAACUCCAAAAGUUGACAAUGCAGUCCAGCUAACAGGAUUUGGAUCCUUUCAUGGUUACAAGGACACAGUUGAUUUCAAAUGUGAAGAUGGUUAUUUCUUCUUACGAGGUAACGGCACAAUUACCUGUGAAGCUGAUAGUAAUUGGAGCCCUGUACUUCCGUUUUGUUCUACAGAACAUGCCUAUACAGAGCCACCUUACCCAAGUCGUCCAGGAUCUGCUAGUACUUCCCAACAAGAACCACCUGUCUCAAGUCAACCAGGGCCUUCGCUUCCUCCCAAUAAAGAGCCACAAGGUUUUGGCAUCAUUAUCGUGAUAGUUCUUACCAUAGUUAUCGUGUUUUCAAUGAUCAGCUUUAUCGCUUAUCGUCGGUACAAGGAGAAAUAAGGGAUUGAUCAUUCACAUUUUAUUCAGUCAGACCUUUUUCCCUUCCUCUGUUCAGCAAAUACAUAACUGAUGGAAUCCACAAAGAAGAAACACAUUUAAAUUCUCUUACUUCUCCUAAAGAAGACGCCUUAAUGAAAGAAAGGUUUACUUAAAUCAUUAAAAGGAAAAAUGUAACGAUUCCUGUUAGUGCUGAUUACAAACCUAGCCCGGAACAAGGGAACCAUUCUGAGGAAAGCAAGUGUAUGAUUUCAGUAAACUAACGUAACCACCAA